rnacentral:rRNA from 1 species
AGCGAACGCUGGCGGCAGGCCUAACACAUGCAAGUCGAACGAACUCUUCGGAGUUAGUGGCGGACGGGUGAGUAACACGUGGGAACGUGCCUUUUGGUUCGGAAGAACUCAGGGAAACUUGUGCUAAUACCGAAUGUGCCCUUCGGGGGAAAGAUUUAUCGCCAUUAGAGCGGCCCGCGUCUGAUUAGCUAGUUGGUGAGGUAACGGCUCACCAAGGCGACGAUCAGUAGCUGGUCUGAGAGGAUGACCAGCCACACUGGGACUGAGACACGGCCCAGACUCCUACGGGAGGCAGCAGUGGGGAAUCUUGCGCAAUGGGCGAAAGCCUGACGCAGCCAUGCCGCGUGAAUGAUGAAGGUCUUAGGAUUGUAAAAUUCUUUCACCGGGGACGAUAAUGACGGUACCCGGAGAAGAAGCCCCGGCUAACUUCGUG